rnacentral:rRNA from 1 species
AGGACGAACGCUGGCGGCGUGGAUUAGGCAUGCAAGUCGCGCGAGAAUCAGCCCUUCGGGGCUGAGGACAGCGGCGAACGGGUGAGUAACACGUGAACAACCUGCCCUCACAUUCCGGACAAUUCACCGAAAGGUGUUGUAAUACGGGCGAGGAUCUCAUCGAGGCAUCUCGAAGAGAAGGAAGGUGCAAGCAUUUAUGUUGCGCCGUGCGAGGUAGGGGUUCGACGGAGCAUCGAGGUAGUUGGGUAGGGUAACGGCCUACAAGCCUACGACGCUUAGCUGGUCUGAGAGGAUGGUCAGACCACUAUUGGAACUGAACGACUACGUGUACCAG